ACCAUACUAUCUUGAACACAACAAUCUCACCUGAUUUUAGAAGCUAAAGAGGGUCAGGCCUGCUUGUAAUUGGAUAUGGAGCCUCCUAGGUAACCCCAGGGAU
rnacentral:rRNA from 1 species